AGGAAAUGAAGAACUGAAGCGACAUAAUGAGAACCUUCAAAAGAUAGUGGAUAUGCAUGGAAGACUUUUCUUGGCCCUUUUUAAGGAGAUGGGAAAAGAACUACCAGAGGAGCUACGCCAAGGAGAAAGUUUCCAACCACAUGGGGGCACUAAUUCAUCUCAUAUUGGAACGCGAGUGCUUGAUGACAACACAGGUGA